GAUGAACGCUAGCUACAGGCUUAACACAUGCAAGUCGAGGGGUAACGAGAGGAAAGCUUGCUUUCCUUGUCGACGACCGGCGCACGGGUGAGUAACGCGUAUCCAACCUGCCCCCAACUAGGGAAUAACCUUGCGAAAGUAAGACUAAUACCCUAUAAUUUCCUCAGAUGACAUCUGACGAGGAAUAAAGAUUUAUCGGUUGUGGAUGGGGAUGCGUCUGAUUAGCUUGUUGGCGGGGUAACGGCCCACCAAGGCAACGAUCAGUAGGGGUUCUGAGAGGAAGGGCCCCCACAUUGGAACUGAGAAACGGUCCAAACUCCUACGGGAGGCAGCAGUGAGGAAUAUUGGUCAAUGGGCGGAAGCCUGAACCAGCCAAGUAGCGUGCAGGAUGACGGCCCUAUGGGUUGUAAACUGCUUUUAUACAGGAAUAAAGUUAGCCACGUGUGGUUAUUUGUAGGUACUGUAUGAAUAAGGACCGGCUAAUUCCGUGCCAGCCGCCGCGGUAA
rnacentral:rRNA from 1 species